ensembl:lncRNA
CUCGGUUCAAUUAUUUCCUCUUCCUUGAGGCUUUGUCUAAUUCCCUCAAUUUUUAAUUCUCACUUUAAUCUCACUUUUUAAUGCAUAUCCCCAGUGCUUAGAACAUAGUAGGAGCAUCAUAAAUGAUUGCUGAUUGAUUUAUUGCUUGACCCAAAAAUUAUUAAUCACAUUGGAUAAAGAAAAUAUCAAGAAUAAAGUGGGCAGUUGCUCAGAAGUUAGCCAGGGCACCAGCUGAUUUUUUUUCUGCCUCACAAUGUUGCUAGGAUAUCAGGAUGUCAACAGAAUGAAACGCUACCAUCAUGAGGAUAAAAAGGAAAGACCAAGAAGGGAACUGAGCUGCAGCUCAUGAAUUUAAAAAAAAUUUCAGAGGAAAGUUAACUUGUAAAACAAGCCUCAGAAUUACAAGUGGACUCAAAAUCUAAGCACUGGGUCUUCUCUUCCCAGGCAAUUGUACCAUCAAUUGGCAGACUUCCUAAGUACUAACUCUAUUGUGUUGAUAAAAGCUAUAGGAGAAAGAUGAACCAAAACAAGAAAAAACAUGUAGCAUUCUGCUAUCCUGUCCAAAUUCCUAGCAAACAAAUCCGUCCAUCUCCUCGCCAACCAGUCUCUUCCUUCUUUUUGAAUCCUGCAGUACUGAAGGGCUUGAACCCAUCACAACAACGCUACCUGAACAGCAUUGCCAAAGUUUAUGAUUCCAAGCCCCAAAGGAAGAACCUGAAAUGGCAGUAUAUUCUCAGUCUUCUCCAGAAAUAUAACCUAGGUUAUAUUUCCAAAAAGGACGCCAUGUCUUAUGUGACUGCUAUGGAUCAGUAUACUAAAAAAGGACCCGUCAAGUAUAGAAGUAAAAACUGCAAGUCUCAGAAGACCCCUACUUUCACCUCUUCAAGAAAAUCUCUGUCCUCACAUGCUUCGGACGUCUCCGGUGGCACCAGCUUCUUUAAACUGGAGAACACCCCCCACAGAACACGGGACAAAACAACUUUCAGUAGCUCCUCUUUAUUCUUCCUCUCUUCUACCUCUACUCUUCCCCCUCCCUCCGUUGCUCUUUACUUAUCUAUUUUCUCCUCGUAAGCUCCAAAUAAGCUCCCAUUGGUCACCCUUUCUUACCUCCGCCCAGGCAAGCCACUGUACACCGCCCCGAAGAUCUUGGCCUUGUGAGGAGCGCGUAUCAAGAGUAGUGCUGACCAAUCACUUACCCAGGAUCGCCUCCUUCACCUCAUGUCUUUUACAUGAUACCAGAGGUCCUCAGGUGACUACGUGCACUCCCUUAGGCUAAAGGCGGCAGGGGAGUCCGGGUCAGUCGGAACACACCCUACACCCUCAUGCCUAACCCUUGACGCAUCCAGUGACCCACAUAUACCAUGCCCUAUCGAGUCCUCUCCUCACAGAUAGCAUUCUGUAACCCCGACUUUUCCCCGCUCCACUACCCCAACCCACCAAAACUUGAAUGAGGCAAUGAGGCACAGCAAACAGAUUACUGGCAGGGGAGUCAGGAAGACCUAGCUUCUCAUCUUGCCUCUGACACCAGCUAUAGGACCUCAAGUAAGUCAAUUUACCCCUCUCAGUCUUCAUUUCCUCACCUGUAAAAUGGUGACAAUAAAAACACCAACUUCAUAAGUCA